rnacentral:lncRNA from 1 species
GCUGAGAAUGAUCAACGUUGGAAAAGGCACCUGCAUCUCUACAAUGGUGAAAGACUAGUAGACUUAAUAUUCAGUAAGGAGAUUUGGGUUUAGAUCUCUUCUAAUUAGUCACAUACAUCUGAUAUAAUGAUUAAUCUAGUUUAAGUCAGUAUAUUUCAUAUCUAACCAACCUAGUCGGUAUGGAUGAACUCGAGUCAACAAGUAACUUAAUACAAAACAUAAUCUUCCAAGAUGGUC